rnacentral:rRNA from 1 species
GAUUUCUGGUUUGAUGUACCUGUCCCGCUGCGGUAACGCAUGUGAGUGACGGAGUAUGUCUGCCAUCCUUCUAGAGAACACAAGCUAUCCUUUACUGGACCGGUUUGUGUCAUCUAGAUCUUUUACUUUGAAAAAAUUAGAGUGUUUCAAGCAGGCGUUUUGCUAUGAAUACAUUAGCAUGGAAUAAUGAGUUAGGACUUCGGUUCUAUUUUGUUGGUUUCUAUAACUGAAGUAAUGAUUGAUAGGGAUAGUUGGGGGUGCUAGUAUUGGCCGGUCAGAGGUGAAAUUCUUGGAUUCGGUCAAGACUAACUUAUGCGAAAGCAUU